AGUGUCUGGUGGGUAGUUUGACUGGGGCGGUCUCCUCCUAAAGAGUAACGGAGGAGCACGAAGGUUGGCUAAUCCUGGUCGGACAUCAGGAGGUUAGUGCAAUGGCAUAAGCCAGCUUGACUGCGAGCGUGACGGCGCGAGCAGGUGCGAAAGCAGGUCAUAGUGAUCCGGUGGUUCUGAAUGGAAGGGCCAUCGCUCAACGGAUAAAAGGUACUCCGGGGAUAACAGGCUGAUACCGCCCAAGAGUUCAUAUCGACGGCGGUGUUUGGCACCUCGAUGUCGGCUCAUCACAUCCUGGGGCUGAAGUAGGUCCCAAGGGUAUGGCUGUUCGCCAUUUAAAGUGGUACGCGAGCUGGGUUUAGAACGUCGUGAGACAGUUCGGUCCCUAUCUGCCGUGGGCGCUGGAGAAUUGAGGGGGGCUGCUCCUAGUACGAGAGGACCGGAGUGGACGCAUCACUGGUGUUCGGGUUGUCAUGCCAAUGGCACUGCCCGGUAGCUAAAUGCGGAAGAGAUAAGUGCUGAAAGCAUCUAAGCACGAAACUUGCCCCGAGAUGAGUUCUCCCUGACUCCUUGAGAGUCCUGAAGGAACGUUGAAGACGACGACGUUGAUAGGCCGGGUGUGUAAGCGCAGCGAUGCGUUGAGCUAACCGGUACUAAUGAACCGUGAGGCUUAACCUUACAACGCCGAAGGUGUUU
rnacentral:rRNA from 1 species